rnacentral:rRNA from 1 species
AUACGGAGGAUGCGAGCGUUAUCCGGAUUUAUUGGGUUUAAAGGGUGCGUAGGCGGUUUUUUAAGUCAGCGGUGAAACGCAAGGGCUCAACCCUUGACCUGCCGUUGAAACUGGAGGACUUGAAUGCGGAUGCUGUGGGAGGAAUGUGUGGUGUAGCGGUGAAAUGCAUAGAUAUCACACAGAACACCGAUUGCGAAGGCAUCUCACAAAUCCGUGAUUGACGCUGAGGCACGAAAGUGUGGGGAUCAAACAGGAUUAGAUACCCUGGUAGUCCACACUGUAAACGAUGAUGACUCGUUGUCGGCGAUAUACAGUCGGUGGCCAAGCGAAAGCGAUAAGUCAUCCACCUGGGGAGUACGACCGCAAGGUUGAAACUCAAAUGAAUUGACGGGG